AGUCAAUGCAAAACUCAGAUGUCUUCCACCUCUACUUAUCUGACUGCAGAGAUGAUGACAGAGAACAGUGGACACACAGUUUAACAUGAUGGACUAUAGGACAGGACUGCUGCUGUUAACUAUCUGCUGGGCAGGUGUUGAUGGUCAGACUCUGACAGAAUCUGAACCAGUGGUUAAAAAGCCUGGAGAAUCUCACAGAUUGACCUGUACAGCCUCUGGAUUCACAUUCAGCAACUACGAGAUGAACUGGGUCAGACAGGCUCCUGGAAAAGGACUGGAGUGGAUUGCUUAUAUCAGCAGUGGCAGUGGUAGCAUCUACUACUCUCAGUCAGUUCAAGGCCGGUUUACCAUCUCCAGAGACAACAGCAGACAGCAGGUGUAUCUACAGAUGAACAGUCUGAAGACUGAAGAUUCUGCUGUUUAUUAUUGUGCUCGAGAGCCACAGUGACUGGAGUUGGUUGAGCAGCUGUACAAAAUCCUACAGUACUCAUCUUAGUGCUCUAUCUGCACACAUUGAAACCAUUAAAAGUAUUUUAUGCAAACCA